rnacentral:lncRNA from 1 species
CACACGCGUGCCAGGUGGUAAACGCCAAAGGGGGAGUUUCUGUGAGGAUGAUGGAAGAAGAAAAAAAUUUGUUCCUGACGUCAGGUUAGUGAAAGAAUAAAUUUUUAUUUUCAAAAAGAAGAAAAAGAAAAAUAAAAGAUUCCGGAUCGAAGUUUUUCCUGGAAAAGCCUUCACUUCCCAUCCUCCCCUAUUUCACUCUCUAGCUAGCUAGCUCUGUGGGCGCACAGCUCCGGAACACGUAUAUAUACACACAUAAAAGAGGAAUCGUGGUUGGGAUGCGUACAUCGUCUACCACAAGCCCUCUAUCAAUUGAGGGGCGAGAACCGGUGAUGGAACCAGUCAAUGCCCAAAACCCCGUCUAGAAAAAGAAAGAAAAGCUGCUGAAGGCCUUUUUCCCUUCUUACACGGUAAAACGAGUCGGUUCUCCAAGGGUGGAAAAAUAACAGAGAGAAAGGAAGAUCAUCUUCAUCAUCAUGGAAACCCCAAGGACAUAACGUAGAGUGUGACUCUUCGGAUUUUUAUUUUGUCCAACACCUUUUU